CGGGGUGCAGCAGGCGCGAAAACUUUACACUGCGGGAAACCGCGAUAAGGGGACCCCGAGUGCCAGCACCUAGUGCUGGCUGUCCAGUUGUCCAAAUAACAGUUGUUAGCAAGGGCCGGGCAAGACCGGUGCCAGCCGCCACGGUAACACCGGCGGCCCGAGUGGUAGCCGUUAUUAUUGGGUUUAAAGGGUCCGUAGCCGGCCUAUUAAGUCUCUUGGGAAAUCUGGCGACUCAAUCGUCAGUCGUCCAAGAGAUACUGGUAGGCUUGGGACCGGGAGAGGUGGGAGGUACUCCAGGGGUAGGGGUGAAAUCUCGUAAUCCUUGGGGGACCACCGAUGGCGAAGGCAUCCCACCAGAACGGGUCCGACGGUGAGGGACGAAAGCUGGGGGCACGAACCGGAUUAGAUACCCGGGUAGUCCCAGCCGUAAACGAUGCUCGCUAGGUGUCAGGUGCGGUGCGACCGCAUCUGGUGCCGCAGUGAAAACUUGAAGCGAGUCACCUGGGAAGUACGGUCGCAAGGCUGAAACUUAAAGGAAUUGGCGGGGGAGCAC
rnacentral:rRNA from 1 species